rnacentral:lncRNA from 1 species
CGGCAGCAGCAGCCGCUGGCCAGCCUGGUUUCCCUCAGCUACAGACAGCCUGGCUCCAGGCCCACCUCCCGGUGCCCUGGGCCUGACAUCUUCUGGGCAGAGCCACGGUGCCCCAGGAGCCAUGUGGAUGGUGUUAGUAAACACGCUUUCUUGCGCCCAGCCUGGCAAGGCCUGUGGGCAGCGGGAGGGCGUAGAGCUGGCAGCUCCCACGGCUGGGCAGGAGGACGGGAGGGUGGACCGGCGGGCAGACGGGCGGGCAGGCCGCCCUGCACAGCCAAGCCAAGGCCCAGAAUGGAGCAGCUGCUCCUGUCACCAUGGAGACGGAACUGAACAAUGAGCAGCCAGAGAUGCAGCAUGGCUGCCUGGCACCGCGGCCACACUCCCGCCAGGCCCUCACACCUACACACAGGAGCUCAUGCACUCACCCUCAUGUGCGCCUGCAUGCAUGGACGUACGUGCACAUAUGCGCACACACGCAUGCAGAGUUCCAGGAAGGAGAAAGAAAUAGAGAAACCGGGUGAAUGCUGUGUGAAGAUAGCUAUCCUGGAGGCCUGCUGGAUUCCUUUAGUGGAAAAUAGGAAGACUUACCAGUUGACCUGGCGCUACUGUCUACACCGACUUCCAGUUCAGAAAAAGCAAAUUCUCAGAAGACUCUCAGGAAGUAGUG